UACAGAGGGUGCAAGCGUUAAUCGGAAUUACUGGGCGUAAAGCGCGCGUAGGUGGUUAGUUAAGUUGGAUGUGAAAUCCCCGGGCUCAACCUGGGAACUGCAUUCAAAACUGACUGACUAGAGUAUGGUAGAGGGUGGUGGAAUUUCCUGUGUAGCGGUGAAAUGCGUAGAUAUAGGAAGGAACACCAGUGGCGAAGGCGACCACCUGGACUGAUACUGACACUGAGGUGCGAAAGCGUGGGGAGCAAACAGGGAUUAGAUACCCUGGUAGUCCACGCCGUAAACGAUGUCAACUAGCCGUUGGGAGCCUUGAGCUCUUAGUGGCGCAGCUAACGCAUUAAGUUGACCGCCUGGGGAGUACGGCCGCAAGGUUAAAACUCA
rnacentral:rRNA from 1 species